rnacentral:rRNA from 1 species
AGUGAACGCUGGCGAUAGGCCUAACACAUGCAAGUCGAACGGCAGCACAGUAAGAGCUUGCUCUUACGGGUGGCGAGUGGCGGACGAGUGAGGAAUACAUCGGAAUCUACUUUUUCGUGGGGGAUAACGUAGGGAAACUUACGCUAAUACCGCAUACGACCUACGGGUGAAAGCAGGGGAUCUUCGGACCUUGCGCGAUUGAAUGAGCCGAUGUCGGAUUAGCUAGUUGGCGGGGUAAAGGCCCACCAAGGCGACGAUCCGUAGCUGGUCUGAGAGGAUGAUCAGCCACACUGGAACUGAGACACGGUCCAGACUCCUACGGGAGGCAGCAGUGGGGAAUAUUGGACAAUGGGCGCAAGCCUGAUCCAGCCAUACCGCGUGGGUGAAGAAGGCCUUCGGGUUGUAAAGCCCUUUUGUUGGGAAAGAAAAGCAGCAGGUUAAUACCCCGCUGUUCUGACGGUACCCAAAGAAUAAGCACCGGCUAACUUCGUG